UUUGGGUCCUUUAAAUUCGAGAUCAUUCAGUGCGGCGUUCCUUUUGUGACGAGAUCCACUUGUAUAGUGAUCGGACGGCCGUAUAAGGGCCUGGAGCCCGGCAUGCCACGUGCUGCCGUGGCGUUCCAUAUUUUGUGUGGUGCGUUCUGUCAGUCUGACUGGCAGAAACAUGCUAAGGGUGGGAGUGCUCCGUGGAGAUCCUCGGUCUGCAGUCUGCAGGUCUCCGGAGUCGGGCAGAAGUAAAGAUU